rnacentral:rRNA from 1 species
GGGGACCCGCACAAGCGGUGGAUGAUGUGGAUUAAUUCGAUGCAACGCGAAGAACCUUACUACCCUUGACAUGUCCGGAACUUGCCAGAGAUGGCUUGGUGCCCGAAAGGGAAUCGGAACACAGGUGCUGCAUGGCUGUCGUCAGCUCGUGUCGUGAGAUGUUGGGUUAAGUCCCGCAACGAGCGCAACCCUUAUCAUUAGUUGCUACGCAAGGGCACUCUAAUGAGACUGCCGGUGACAAACCGGAGGAAGGUGGGGAUGACGUCAAGUCCUCAUGGCCCUUAUGGGUAGGGCUUCACACGUCAUACAAUGGUCGGUACAGAGGGUUGCCAAGCCGCGAGGCGGAGCCAAUCCCACAAAGCCGAUCGUAGUCCGGAUUGUUCUCUGCAACUCGAGAGCAUGAAGUCGGAAUCGCUAGUAAUCGCAGGUCAGCAUACUGCGGUGAAUACGUUCCCGGGUCUU